UGAUUGCCUGAAUAGCUCUAAAGCGCAUGGGAUCACCAGCUCCUGUAACAAUAACUUUGUGAUAUCAGGAUGGACGUUUACGAAGAGGAAAAUAGAUUUUCCUACAUGUCACUAGGAACUUCCAGAAGACUUCAGCUUUUCUGAGUCUCGCUGUGGUAAAGUAACCAGUAUUGCCUGAUCCUAAAUUAUCUAUCAACACUGACCAACCACUGUCUCAAGAGGAUAUUUAUCAGGUCACAGGGAUCUGCCAGGAAUGGUGAUACUCCUUCAGGCUCUGAGUCGAAGUCUGUCCCCUGCCUAUUCCACCCUCCAUGUCACCUGCCACACCAUCACAGACAGCCCCACCCCCGAGAGCUCUGGUAAUCAUUUCAUCAUCCAUGGCUUUUAACAACGAUGAAAGAAUCUCCUAUUUGCCGCUGUCUGCCUGAGUGAAGGGGACACACAGAGACUCUUUGUCCCUGUUUACAAAGCAAAGUACAUUAGAGAGAAGCUUCAUAGGGGUCGAGAUUGAAGCUUUCCCAGGCCCCACCGCUGAGGAGAUGGAAUAUGUUUGAUAAACGCACACUGAAUACAGAUCGUGUUUAGAGAGCUCUCAAGGAAGAAUGCAUUUAUAAUAUUUCUUUAACUGAAAGCCUAGGAGGAGAUAGGCAGACAGCUGAAGGCCAACAAGAGUGUCACCACUGACAGACAUGGAAAGUGGCAGUGACCGGGCUCCUCCUGCCUCUGGAAACUGCGGACAGAAAUUGCAACCACUGUGGCCUCCACUGAGGAGCAAACCAAGCUCUGACCAAACUUCUUUCAAAGUCACCCCAGCUCUGCGCACACAGCCUGACGACAUGUAUGUAACCAAACCAAGCAGAUGAUGUUCUGUGAAAAGGAUAUUUUCAGGAGAUGAUUCAGCAACUUUCUAAACACUAAACUGGCUGCCAGACGCGAAGUCCAGCAGUGCGGCUGUUCUCUCUCCUCUCUCUUUUCCUUCAGUUCUCAUCAUCUUCAAACAUACCGGAUGACAUAUGGAAGUUCUUCACCUUCAUCAUUUCAGGUUUUAUGCCAAUCUCCAUGAAUACAAGGUUGUUGUUGUUGUUGUUGUUGUUGUUGUUGCUGUUGCUGUUGCUCCCCACCCACUCUGACAUGGCUUGGGCCCACUCGUUGCCAUGUACAUUAAUGAAGAUGGUCUUCAUCCUACCAUGUUUAGACUUAAAGGUUUCAGUUUCACAGUGAUAUAACAGUGAUACACAGUCGGUAUAAAUCUGACUUAAGGUUUUGAUCUCUGGUCCUCUUCCUGGCUAUGGAUACACAGCAUAUAACUCUAUAGAUGCUGGGCAGUGGCAGUGAGUUGACAUUCCUACUAAGAAUUCCUACACUACUAAGAAGCUAAACAACAAUUGUGUUUGUGUACUGUGUUGCCAAAGUAUGUCAUUUGGUAGGUGUGAUGGUUAGUGUUCAUUAGCAACCUGACAGAGACUAUAACCACCUUGGAAAUGGGUCUCUGGGAGAUUAUCUUGAUUACACAAUUGAUGUAGGAAGACCCUUCUUAAUUAUGGGUGGGAUCAUUCCCUGGGUGUGUAUAAAAUGGAGUGUGUAAAAUGAAGAGAAUGUACUAGCAAGUGUUCAUGUUUCUGCUUCCUGGUUGUAGAUGUAAUGCCACCAGCUACUUAAAGCUCUUGCUGCCUUGACUUUCCCACGGGUCGGCUGACAGUCGAUCCUUAGAGCUGAGCCAGCACAAGUCCUUUAUCCAAAGUCAAGGAUUAUGUGCUUACAAAAGCUCUUAUUCGUUCUGAAUCUUCACAGAGCAAGGCGAGAAGUAGGGACAAACUGUGCUCUGAGAGGGCUGGAGAGAUGGCUCAGCGGUUAAGAGCGUUGCCUGCUCUUCCAAAGGUCCUGAGUUCAAUUCCCAGCAACCACAUGGUGGCU